UACGUAGGUGGCAAGCGUUGUCCGGAUUUACUGGGCGUAAAGGGCGUGCAGGCGGUCUGUUAAGUCUAGGGUGAAAGCUCCCGGCUCAACUGGGAGAGGUCCUUGGAUACUGGCGGACUUGAGGGAGGAAGAGGAGAGUGGAAUUCCCGGUGUAGCGGUGAAAUGCGCAGAUAUCGGGAAGAACACCCGUGGCGAAGGCGGCUCUCUGGGACGGUACUGACGCUGAGACGCGAAAGCGUGGGGAGCGAACAGG
rnacentral:rRNA from 1 species